rnacentral:rRNA from 1 species
UACAGAGGGGGCGAGCGUUGUUCGGAAUUACUGGGCGUAAAGGGCGCGUAGGCGGCCAACUAAGUCAGACGUGAAAUCCCUCGGCUUAACCGGGGAACUGCGUCUGAUACUGGAUGGCUUGAAUCCGGGAGAGGGAUGCGGAAUUCCAGGUGUAGCGGUGAAAUGCGUAGAUAUCUGGAGGAACACCGGUGGCGAAGGCGCAGC